CGAAGGGGGCUAGCGUUGUUCGGAAUUACUGGGCGUAAAGCGCACGUAGGCGGAUAUUUAAGUCAGGGGUGAAAUCCCGCAGCUCAACUGCGGAACUGCCUUUGAUACUGGGUAUCUUGAGUAUGGAAGAGGUUAGUGGAAUUGCGAGUGUAGAGGUGAAAUUCGUAGAUAUUCGCAGGAACACCAGUGGCGAAGGCGGCUAACUGGUCCAUAACUGACGCUGAGGUGCGAAAGCGUGGGGGAGCAAACAGGAUU
rnacentral:rRNA from 1 species